UAAGAUACUGAAACUUAUCCCUAGGCAGA
rnacentral:piRNA from 1 species